rnacentral:rRNA from 1 species
UUUAUGGAGAGUUUGAUCCUGGCUCAGGAUGAACGCUGGCGGCGUGCCUAAUACAUGCAAGUCGAGCGAACGGACGAGAAGCUUGCUUCUCUGAUGUUAGCGGCGGACGGGUGAGUAACACGUGGAUAACCUACCUAUAAGACUGGGAUAACUUCGGGAAACCGGAGCUAAUACCGGAUAAUAUUUUGAACCGCAUGGUUCAAAAGUGAAAGACGGUCUUGCUGUCACUUAUAGAUGGAUCCGCGCUGCAUUAGCUAGUUGGUAAGGUAACGGCUUACCAAGGCAACGAUGCAUAGCCGACCUGAGAGGGUGAUCGGCCACACUGGAACUGAGACACGGUCCAGACUCCUACGGGAGGCAGCAGUAGGGAAUCUUCCGCAAUGGGCGAAAGCCUGACGGAGCAACGCCGCGUGAGUGAUGAAGGUCUUCGGAUCGUAAAACUCUGUUAUUA